GACGAACGCUGGCGGCGUGCUUAACACAUGCAAGUCGAGCGGUAAGGCCCUUUCGGGGGUACGACGAGCGGCGAACGGGUGAGUAACACGUGGGUGACCUGCCCUCAGCUCUGGGAUAAGCCUGGGAAACCGGGUCUAAUACCGGAUAUGACUCCAUGACGCAUGUUGUGGGGUGGAAAGCCUUGUGCGGCUGAGGAUGGGCCCGCGGCCUAUCAGCUUGUUGGUGGGGUGAUGGCCUACCAAGGCGACGAUGGGUAGCCGGCCUGAGAGGGCGACCGGCCACACUGGGACUGAGACACGGCCCAGACUCCUACGGGAGGCAGCAGUGGGGAAUCUUGCGCAAUGGGCGAAAGCCUGACGCAGCGACGCCGCGUGAGGGAUGACGGCCUGGUGUAAC
rnacentral:rRNA from 1 species